AGAAUGAAUAAGAAACAAUAAAACCUCAUAUCUCCUCAGACUGGGAUGGGUCGAUGCUCGGCAGUCAUUGUUUUAGUGAUGCUGGUGUUAUUCUUUCGUUCAGACUGUCGUCUCCUUGACUCUGUCAAUAAAUAUGAGGGGAAGAUGGGUGUAAAAGAGAAGAUGAAAAAGAGAACCGACGAAAAAGCAGGAACUUUCUACCCCAGGGAAGAGCUUCAAUGGAUACAUUCCCCAGACGAACAUUGCUUGGACCCAUGUUAAUUUAAAAACAAUAAAAUUAACAAUAUGUAAUAGUUCGAUAAGAUUUGAAUGUGAUUAUGUACGUAUCGCAUGACUAUUGGAUGUUAAAUUAACUUCAAUUUGUAUCAGAAUUGUUAUGUCACUAAGAAAAGGUGUUGUGUAAUUCAAAUAUGAGUUGUGUAGUGCAGUGAUGUCAGAGUUGGAAUAGUAA